UACGAAGGGGGCUAGCGUUGUUCGGAAUUACUGGGCGUAAAGGGCGCGUAGGCUGUGCUGUAAGUCAGGCGUGAAAGGCCCGGGCUCAACCUGGGAAUGGCGCUUGAUACUGCGGCGCUGGAAGGUGGGAGAGGAUGGCGGAAUUCCCAGUGUAGAGGUGAAAUUCGUAGAUAUUGGGAAGAACACCGGUGGCGAAGGCGGCCACCUGGCUCGGUACUGACGCUGAGGCGCGACAGCGUGGGGAGCAAACAGG
rnacentral:rRNA from 1 species